GGGACCCUGCGGUGCGCGUGAUUCGUCGAGGAAGUUUGAGCCGACACUCAUACUUUAGGAACCUUGACUUGGUGACUCCGAGUGGCAGCCCCGUUUAAACGGGGAAUCGCGAGGAUCACCAGCGGGUUCCACCCUGGUUUCUGGGGUUCAAAACUCGGUAGACACACGGCACUCGCGGGGUCUAU
rnacentral:other from 1 species